rnacentral:rRNA from 1 species
UACGAAGGGGGCUAGCGUUGCUCGGAAUCACUGGGCGUAAAGGGUGCGUAGGCGGGUCUUUAAGUCAGGGGUGAAAUCCUGGAGCUCAACUCCAGAACUGCCUUUGAUACUGAAGAUCUUGAGUUCGGGAGAGGUGAGUGGAACUGCGAGUGUAGAGGUGAAAUUCGUAGAUAUUCGCAAGAACACCAGUGGCGAAGGCGGCUCUCUGGGCAGAUACUGACACUGAGACGCGAAAGCGUGGGAAGCAAACAGG